GUAACAAGGUCUCCGUUGGUGAACCAGCGGAGGGAUCAUUACUGAGUUUACGCUCUACAACCCUUUGUGAACAUACCUAUAACUGUUGCUUCGGCGGGUAGGGUCUCCGUGACCCUCCCGGCCUCCCGCCCCCGGGCGGGUCGGCGCCCGCCGGAGGAUAACCAAACUCUGAUUUAACGACGUUUCUUCUGAGUGGUACAAGCAAAUAAUCAAAACUUUUAACAACGGAUCUCUUGGUUCUGGCAUCGAUGAAGAACGCAGCGAAAUGCGAUAAGUAAUGUGAAUUGCAGAAUUCAGUGAAUCAUCGAAUCUUUGAACGCACAUUGCGCCCGCCAGCAUUCUGGCGGGCAUGCCUGUUCGAGCGUCAUUUCAACCCUCAAGCUCUGCUUGGUGUUGGGGCCCUACAGCUGAUGUAGGCCCUCAAAGGUAGUGGCGGACCCUCCCGGAGCCUCCUUUGCGUAGUAACUUUACGUCUCGCACUGGGAUCCGGAGGGACUCUUGCCGUAAAACCCCCAAUUUUCCAAAGGUUGACCUCGGAUCAGGUAGGAAUACCCGCUGAACUUAAGCAUAUCA
rnacentral:rRNA from 1 species